AUACCAGCUUCAACGGACGCAUGUGGGACAGUAAAGAAUUCCUUUUUUACACUUGUGAAACUUGCUACACAACUUGUCUAACACCAGGAUGGUACUUGUAAUUCACAUGAAAUUGCGAAAAUUGGAGAAGGAAAAGAACAUGGAAUUAUGUUAGAAUAUGUUGAAUGGGCUACAAAAGACGAUAUCAGAGUCAUAAAGCAAGAUUUAAAGUCAAUACGUGAUUUAGUACAGAACUGUAGAAAAGAUAGGUGUAGUGUUUUUUAUCCAAGAGAUUGUCAGGACUUAUUGCUACAAGGUCACAGAAAAAGUAAGGUGUACACAAUUUUUCUAACGAAUGGGUGGAGCUUCGAGGUUUUCUGUGAUCAGGAAACAAACUGUGGGGGUUGGACGGUUAUACAAAGGAGACAGGUUGGGUCAGAAAAUUUCUUCAAAACCUGAAAU